rnacentral:rRNA from 1 species
GUNAUACGUAGGGGGCAAGCGUUNUCNGAAUUNUUGGGGUNAAGCGCGGGCANGCGGCUUUUAANUCUGAUGGGAAAGCCCACGGNUCAACCGUGGAGGUGCAUUGNAANCNGAAGGCUUGAGGAUAUAAGAGGAAAGUGGAAUUCCACGUGUAGCGGUGAAAUGCGUAGAGAUGUGGAGGAACACCAGUGGCGAAGGCGACUUUCUAGUAUAUUACUGACGCUGAGGCGCGAAAGCGAGGGGAGCAAACAGGAUUAGAUACCCUGGUAGUCCACGCUGUAAACGAUGAGUGCUAAGUGUUAGGGGGUUUCCGCCCCUUAGUGCUGGCGUUAACGCAUUAAGCACUCCGCCUGGGGAGUACGGCCGCAAGGCUGAAACUCAAAGGAAUUGACGGGGACCCGCACAAGCGGUGGAGCAUGUGGUUUAAUUCG